GGCAGGCCUGGGGAUUCCACGAGGCUGUGCGUGCUCAGAACCCUUGCAUGUGCAUUCCUGCCUAGACCGCUCUCCCCAUCCCCACUCUCUUACCUCAUCCUCUUCCUUCACCUCUCAGCCCACUUGUCUCCUGUUCGGGGGAGCUCAUCUGCUCAUGUCUGCCUCUUUGUCUGGGUUUUAUCUCUCCACAUGCAGGCCUGAGACAAGGAUUUGGAGGCAAGCAGUUUAUUUGAGAGAGGAUUCCAGGAAGCAUCUGUAAGAGAGUGAGGAAGAGGGACCGGAAGUGUGGGGGUGGAAGCAUUGAAGGAGGAGAUCACAGCAGGAAAUGAAGCCAUAUCCUGUACACGCUGGCUACCACAUAUGAACCAUCAGAGAGAUGGAGGGCAAUGUCUGGAAGAAGGACGGGAAGAGGGAAUAUAAGAACAUUCAGUAUUAAUGGAUUCCAAACUCCGUGUGAUAACCAGCCGGUCCUGGACCAGUUUAUCAUCGCAGUGUGGACUGAUUCUCUUUUGCAGGAAGUUAGUUUUGACUUCACCAGCUGGAUUGGAGGGCACCUGUGGCAUACCUUGUCCUAUUGCUGUGGGGGACUUCGUCCAGCUUUUAGACAUGCAAGACUAAAUGUGAAUACCAUCUAUACGUAAGUGGCUGAGAAAAUGCUG
rnacentral:lncRNA from 1 species